CCCUCAUCAAUCACGGGAUCCCCAUAUCAACUCUACCCUCUCAAGCAGCAAUUCAAAAAAGAGAUUUGCAGUAGCAUUUCAAACUAAUAUUCAAGAUUUGUUCAUCAGAAUUUGGGCGCAACGUAUUCACUGCCUACCAUUCUCAGUAACCUCGCACGAUAGAAUUCGAUUCUCACUUUUGGAAAAACUGCUGCAACUCUCGGUCCUUCGAAGGUUGCUGUUGUUCGAACACGAAUGACGCCUCAAAUUGGAGGAAGAUUUUGAAUAGGUUUACUACGUUGUUGCAUCAAUGCUUAAAUUCAAUCAAAAAGGGAUCUUUGAAAGAGGUUGUCUUGGCAUCUCACAUUAUAGGUUUUGCUCAUGCCUUCACAUGAAGCAACUUUUAAUUUAGUGUUUUUAUUUUCCUAUUUUCUUUUUUCUUCUGGAAUUACAAUAGCUUGUAUGUUUAGUUGUUGAUGGAGAAGAAGCAGGGCACACAGAGAAUAUUCAAUAUUUAUGUUUUGUUCAUUGAAAAAUUAUUAUUAUUCGUUACAGGUUCUUA